rnacentral:misc_RNA from 1 species
GACAGAAUCAAAAUUAAAAUAUCAAAAAGUGUGUUCCAAACAUUUUAUUCAAGGACAACCUGCAAAACUUGAAGAUGUAAAUGAUCCUGAUUGUAUACCAACCCAAAAUAUGGGUUACUCUAGGGGACCUGUAAAACGAAAGCAGGACUUUGAAAGACUGGAAAGAGUAAAGAAAAGAUCUUCCACAAAGGUUUCAUAAGAGGACAAUGAUACAUUUAUUGAGAAUGAAAACAAUACAGUAAGUGAAAGUAACACUACAGCAAUGUACGAAGACAGUACUGGAACCGAAACUCAAACUGAGUUAACCUCAGAUGAUAUUGAACAGAUGGCUCAACAAUUAAAAUUUUCAAAUAAAAAAAUUGACGAGUUGACUCGCAGAAUUAAUAAGACCAUUUUAAGUUUCGAGUCACUAGAAAGGGACAAUCCGAAAUGGAUAUAUUAUACCGGUUUAAAUUUUUCUGUUUUGAAGUCAGUAUUUGACAGAAUUAAACCAUUUAUUCCAUCAUCCUCAGUAACUGUUUUAGAUCCCUCUCAACAAUAUUUGUUGACAUUGAUGAAAAUGAGAAUUAAUCUAGAUUUUAAAUAUUUGGCCUACCAAUUUGGCAUUUCUCAAUCGACAUGUUCCACCUAUUUUAAUACCAUCAUCUCGAUAAUGUAUCAAAGAUUUAAAAAUAGCAUAAAAUGGCCAGAUCGGGAAAUUAUUAAAAAAACAUGCCUUCUUGCUUUAGAGAAGUCUUUCAUGAUAAGACCACAAUUAUCAUUGAUUGCUUUGAGGUGUUUAUCCAAAAACCAGCUAGUUAUUUAACCCAGCACCAAACAUGGUCAAACUAUAAACAUCAUAACACAGUUAAAUUUCUUAUUGGAAUUACUCCCCAAGGCUGUAUUUCAUAUAUCAGUAAAGCAUGGGGAGGAAGAGCAUCAGAUAAACAAAUAGUAGAGUUCUCUGGUUUUUUGGAUAAAAUAGAACCCCAAGAUAUUGUGAUAGCAGAUCGAGGUUUUUUGAUAAAAGAAUUUUUAGAUGUGUUACAAGCAAAGCUAGUAAUUCCAGCUUUUACCACGGGGAAAAAACAAUUGCUUCCACUAGAGCUGGAAGAAACUAGAAACAUUGCACAGGUUAGAAUCCACGCAGAAAGAGUUAUUGGCUCCAUUAAAAAUAAAUUUAAUAUUUUUUCAGAGCCACUUCCGAUUUCUAUGUUAACCCAUGUUACUGAUAGUAUAAAUAUAGUUAAUAAGAUAAUUUUUAUAGCAUGUGUUUUGAUUAAUUUAUGCCCUCCUAGUGUUGCAAUUUAAUUAAAUUUAACCUAUUUCACCAGAUCGUCGCCUUUUUAGUAUUUCUUUUAAUAAUUUUUGGUACACAUCUGAAGUGUCACUACGAAAAACAA